GGAGGGCAUGCGCGUCCACUUCGAGCGCUUCAGCGAGAUCCUCGAGGCCGUCGUCAUCGCCGACAAGGGCACCGGCAGAUCCAAGGGCAGCAGAUUCGUGAGUACUCACCCAAACAAUUCUCUCUUCCGCUCAUCAUCGAUUGAUCUUCAGUAGUUAAUUCUCUUGAUUAAUUAUUCAGUCCUGUUAGUUGAUGCUAUGCCUGAAUGGAUCCUUGGUAAGUUACGUUCUGGAGGCAGAGGCGGACAUCAAGACAUGGUGAAUGACGUCCAGAGGGCCAACUGCAACCUCGCCUACCUUGGGAUCCAGAGGUCCAAGGCACCACAACCAACUGCCUCUGCAUCCAUAUUCUGGUAAUUUAUUAGUUCGAUGCUUUGAUUUGCUAUUACUGAAUUAUAUGAUUAGUUAGUGAGAAUUAAGUGCUAGGCCCGUCUUAGUUUGAUUGUUAGUCGUUGACCAUGUGCAGUCAAUUAAUUAGAUGCUUUCAUUAACUUCUAAUUUGCUGAAUUAUUAUUGGUUAAGCACCGUGCAGGUAUUCAUUUGAUUGUUAGUCAUUGACCAUUAGCAUCAAGCUAGCUAGGUGUGCGUGCAUGCUACACACACACACACACACAUAUAUAUAUAUAUAUAUAUCAAUUGUUGCAAGUUACAAUCAUCUGCCAACUCUCUUUUCAGAAAAAAAUAUGCCAACUUAAUUAAUCAAUCAUGUCGAAUUGUAGACGCAGUGACCAGACGAUGCAAAGUUCCUGUUUAGUUUGACAUUUUUAGUAGAAGGUUUAGUGUCAAUCUAGAUUUGCUAGGACUAAUUUGAAAACUACCGGUGUUAUAGAUUUGCUAGGACUAAUUGAUCUGCUUGCAUGCCUAAUGCCCUUUGUGAUGUUUUCCACUGUCAAGAUUACACUUCUAGAAAAUGUGUUUAUUUUGUUAGUUUCAAUCUAUAACAAAAUCUGAUUUGAUUCCACUCUGGACAAUCUGCAAACAGAUGCUAAUUCUCCAUGAUUAUUAACUUGUCCGAAAUCUUAAUUCCGUCUUUCCUAUUGCAGGUUUAUUUCAGUUUAGUGUGGUAAUCGGCAGCAACCAAGUUAACAAAUCUUAACUGAAGUAUGUGUUUUAAAUCUUCGGUGGUGAUUUUUUUCUUGUGAGUAGACCAAUACAAACUGAAGUAUGUAUUCUGAAUUUUGUUCAUGUGACUAGAUGCAUAUGAACUGAACUACUGAAGCUCUGUUAUUCUUUCUAAGACGACGAUGGUCGCAACUCCAUCUAAACUCGAAACAGAUAUCGGCCAUCUCUUAUUCUUUCUAAAUCUUAACAGAGGAAAAUUUUCACAAGCUUUAGAUGGAGUCUGGCGUGUUAUUCGAAUUUGAUUCAGAAUAGAAACAGAUAUCGCAAACUUGAAUGUACUAACGUGACACGAUUCAGAUUGCAUUGGCUGACAUAUGUAAUGAUCUUCAUAUAAAAGGGAAAAUUAAAUCAAUCACAUGUACCUCCGGGUUGCCCGACGCAAAUGUUUGAGAAGCAGUACAUGAGAUUGCCGAGGAAAGCUAUUAAGAGAAGCAUACAAAUAUACUAAGAUGACACCUGAUUCUCUAGGUGUGCAUGACAUACUGAUCAUCAUUUGAACUAAUCUAUGAUCUUGUUUGCAAUUUCAGGGUGGUGUAGCAAGCAAGCAAGAAUUGGAGAGGUAUCAUUAUGAGCUAAUCUGGACCAUGUACAGAGUUGACAAUAGUUCAAAAAAUAUCUGUUCACUGAAGGUUGAUCUGAGUUCCACUAUUCCAAUUCACAUGUACAUUGUUCUGCAUUUUCUACAGUCUUCGGUGCAUGCUUGGAGAAGAGGCUAAGAUGAGAGGCUUCAAUCUGGAGAUGACAAGGAUAGUCACCUGGUGCAACUAAAGGUUCGGUUUCAUACUUGUGAAGUUGUGAUGAUAUUGUUCAGGUAGUACUCCCUGACUGAUUUCACUUGUACUAUUUCUUCACAGAAGGUACUAAAAUAUCUUGUCAUACUAAUAUUUAAUUUCUACUGAUACUUUGUGAGAAUACUCAGUUUCCUUAUACUAAAAUAUACCUGUUUACUUUUGUACUGAAAUGUACCUUCUUACAAAGAUUUCAUAGGAAGGAGGAGGUUAAGGGAGCAAAAGGCAUGUGGAGACAGGAGCCAGCUCAAGGAGAAGUUAACCCAUAAAUUACUUAAAUAAUAAUUUAAUAAACCUCUGAUUUACCUACAGAAUAAAAGGCCUAUGAUGAAAGAAUAGCAUCCAGAAAAAAUACAACUAGAUAACGGGACAAUUUCAUAUGGGAGAAUGACAAAUUAGAGAGCUUAAACAUUAAGUUGCCUCCAAAGCUUUGCAAACCGCAAUGGUACAAAACUAAGUUCAGUUCUUACUGGUUUCUUACUGCAUGAAGAACUCUCGUCGUUACCAUUUUCCAAACCUGUAGCAAGCAAUGCAUUAGAUGACAAUUCAAAUUAUUGGACACCAAGACUGCUGAGAAGCAUUAUUGUAACAAACAUGGAAAGAGCUUACAUCCAUGACAUCAUCAUCCCCAUGCCUCUGACUUUUAUCCCUUUGUUCAGGUGUCAAGUAGUUGGCCAUUUGGCGGAAGUCAGGUCCAGGGGGAGACUCCGGUGUCCAGGAACUCUGCCCAGGAAAGAUGUCAAUCAUAAGUUCCAGGUAAAUUCCACUAACCAACCCUUUGCACAAAGAAUUUCUAGAAUUGAUAAGAAAGUGAAAAACAGGUGCUCAGGCAAGUAGUAACAUACAAGGCACACGAUGGAAGAGAUGGCGUUCCCAGAGAUGUGAAUCACAUGGGUGCGGCAUCAAGAAUGGUGAGAAGUCUGUGAACUUGUUCGUCCUCCAUGUAGACCCAUCCUUCAAAAACAAUGUUUUUUACAGAUCAGCAUAAGAAGCACCAGUUAUAGCUUGACCACAACAUGGAGAAGAAAACUUUAUUUGACUUAAGAAAUCAUUUCACUUCGGUGACACAAUGUGAAAUCUCCAAACAGUCCAACAAGAUCAGAUACAUAAAAGACUAUCUUUCCCGACACCAUACAUCUUUAAUCUUACAACACUGAUUCAAUCGAAUAAUAUCCUUUGUUCUUCAAGCAUUUUCCUUUCUUUUUCUUUUGAUACUAUCUCCAAACUUUGUGACAACAUGAUCAGAUAUUAUCACAUAGUAGAGAAAAUCUAACAUAUAUUUGCUUGGAUUACCUAGAUGCAAAGUAGAAUCUGAACUGGAAGACACAUCCACACCUGAUCGUGUGGUACCAGGAAAUUACCGAAACUCUUUCACGCCAAGAAAAUAAUUUAAGCCAUGAAACGAAUACUCAAUGUGACUGGAUGUUGAGCUUUGCCCACCUAAUUUUGGGAUGGUCACCCAACUCUUUCACGCUGAGUUGCAACAAGAAAAUAUAUGACCAAGAACAUAACUGAAGAAGUGUGAUUAAGGGGGAGCUUUGGAAUAGAUAAAAGCAGUCUCAAGCACCAAUAGGAUAUGAAAAUAGCAAUGCUCACCCAGACUCAUCUCUUUGGUUCUAACAGUUGCAUAACUCUAGGGGUCCCUAACGGCUCUGUACAUCCCAGUCAUAGUGAAAUUUCAGUUUUCAGUUCACAAACAUCUUUCAGAGAAGUAACAUUACCACACAUGGCCAUUGCUAAACUGAAAAUGAACCUGAGGAUUGUCCAAGGUUCCACCAAAUACACAAACGACACCUGAACAGGUGCGGAAGGGCGCAGAUCAGUAUGGCCCGUGUGGGGUUCGGGGAUUACCAUUUUUGCGAGCUCUGCGAGGACGCUGGAGGCGCGGUCGGCGUGGCGUCACGAGAAGCAGUGGUGGAUGGCGUCGACUUGCGUGCGGACCUCGCGGGCGACCGCCUCCUGGGAGUGGCGGCAGAAGAUCUCGGGGCCGAAGGAGCCCUCGUCGUCCUUGUCGUCUUCAUGGGCAUCGGCGUUUCCGAGCGGCGACGAGACGACGGCGGCGGCGGCCAAGACAGACUGCGCUUCUGUGCCUUGCGUCGCGAGCGCUGGGGUGCUUGUCGAAGGCGGGGGAGGGGGGAGGGCAGAAGCAAAGAGGUGGGCCGGUUCAGGGAGAGGAGGGCCCGGACGGCGCCGUCGAGGGGAGGGGAGGCGCCAUGGAUGGGAGUAGCUGUGAGGGGAGAAGGUGAGAGGAGCGGCUCUGAGUGGAGAAAGUGAGUGGCUGUACUGUGAGGAUAAGUUUUUUUAGUUUGUGAAAAAUUUGGUUUGUCUCACUUUUAUUUACAUGUUUAUAAUAUAAAAUGUCAUUUAUAUGUUUAUAUAUUUAUAUGCUUCAGAUUUGUGGAUAAGUGUUUCAACUGAUGGAUCCGGAUGAAACUUUCAAAAUGUCGACUGACACUGCCAUUGAUGUAACGAUAUCAUCAAGUUUUACUCAACUACCAGAUGAGAUGCAUACAAAUAACUAUUCUUUUUUGUAUGUGUGGUGCACACGAUAACGUAAAGGGUGUAUUUUUAUAUAUGUUUAUUUUUGAAGAAUGAGAUGGAUUAUGUCGAUGUUUAAAAAGAAUCCAUCGACAAGGGUCCCGAGGCGACGUCGUUCGGAGGAGACGAAAAUUCAGCGAGUUUUAUAGAGAGUG
rnacentral:lncRNA from 1 species